UUAUGUCCAAAAUAAAAAAUGAAAAGUCAGCAAAAAAAAGGAAAGUGAAGAGUCUAGAAAUUAUGUUGAACCCUAGCUACGCUGCUCAGCCUAAGAUGUCGCCAGUACAAUGAACUUGAGCUGAGGCCGCCAGUGUAAUCAUAAGAUUCAAUAGGAUCUUCGCUCACAGUUCCAGCAUACUCCAUUGGUGAUGGUCUUAAUUAAGGAUGCAACAACCUACAAUUUUCCAUACAGUGACCCUGAAGCUUGCACUCAAAAUAGUAUUUUAGCAAAUGAUCAUACUAUAUUUUAACUUGAAUGUUUCUACUUACUCCUGAUACUUUAUUACAAAAUUCCAUCUUAACCCA